ensembl:misc_RNA Y_RNA Y RNA
GGCUGGUCCGAUGGCAGUGGGUUAUCAGAACUUAUUAACAUUAGUGUCACUAAAGUUGGUAUACCACCCCCCCCCCACUGCUAAAUUUGACUGGCUUUAA